CCUACGGGAGGCAGCAGUGAGGAAUAUUGGUCAAUGGCCGGAAGGCUGAACCAGCCAUGCCGCGUGAAGGUCAGUGCCCUAUGGGCGUUAAACUUCUUUUGUGCGGGAGCAAUAAUGGUCACGUGUGGCCAGACGAGAGUACCGUACGAAUAAGCAUCGGCUAACCCCGUGCCAGCAGCCGCGGGAAUACGGGGGAUGCAAGCGUUAUCCGGAUUUAUUGGGUUUAAAGGGUGCGUAGGCUGUGAGGUAAGUCAGCGGUGAAAUGCCCGCGGUUCACGGGGUGAAGUGCCAUUGAUACUGCCUGGCUGGAAUGCGGAUGCGGUGGGAGGAAUGUGUGGUGUAGCGGUGAAAUGCAUAGAUAUCACACAGAACACCGAUUGCGAAGGCAGCUCACGAAUCCGCGAUUGACGCUGAUGCACGAAAGCGUGGGUAUCAAACAGGAUUAGAUACCCCUGUAGUC
rnacentral:rRNA from 1 species